GUAUGCUUGCGCCAUGAACCGCUUCCUGUCCGCCCUCCGACGUCGCUCGCCGCACCUCACGGAUGCCGCCGGCUCGUCACGGACGCACGCGUAACCCUCUCCUCGUUACGCCAAGCAGUUCGAACCACCAAGCCACGGCAUUCCGUGGCUUUUUU
rnacentral:ncRNA from 1 species